UACGAAGGGGGCUAGCGUUGCUCGGAAUCACUGGGCGUAAAGGGCGCGUAGGCGGCCAUUCAAGUCGGGGGUGAAAGCCUGUGGCUCAACCACAGAAUUGCCUUCGAUACUGUUUGGCUUGAGUUUGGUAGAGGUUGGUGGAACUGCGAGUGUAGAGGUGAAAUUCGAUAGAUAUUCGCAAGAACACCAGUGGCGAAGGCGGCCAACUGGACCAAUACUGGACGCUGAGGCGGCGAAAAGCGUGGGGGAGCAAACAGG
rnacentral:rRNA from 1 species